rnacentral:lncRNA from 1 species
ACAAAGUUAUAAAAGUAAUCAGCAUCUUAAUAGCAGUUUAUCUUAUCACAAGACUUGAUGUUUUGGAAUAGUACACAUUGAAUUGCUAAUUGCAUUUUUAUGCCACCAAUCCCCUCUACUGAAUAUUAAUUGAUAAUUCUAUUUUUGGAUAUAUAUUUAUACACAUCCAUUUAUACAUAAAGUGAGAAACAUUUUGAUGCUAAAAAUUAGUUUUAAUGCUAAAAAUUGAGGUGAAAAUGAAGAGACAAGAUAAUGUGAGAAAAAAAAAGUGGACUGUGAGCUAAGAGGUAGUGAGAAAAAAUUGAUUACUUGAAUAGAAAAU